UACGUAGGGGGCAAGCGUUGUCCGGAUUCAUUGGGCGUAAAGAGCGUGUAGGCGGCCAGGUAGGUCGGUUGUGAAAACUGGAGGCUCAACCUUCAGAGGUCGACCGAAACCAUCUGGCUAGAGUCCGGGAGAGGAGAGUGGAAUUCCUGGUGUAGCGGUGAAAUGCGCAGAUAUCAGGAAGAACACCCGUGGCGAAAGCGGCUCUCUGGAACGGUACUGACGCUGAGACGCGAAAGCGUGGAGAGCGAACAGG
rnacentral:rRNA from 1 species